GAUUAAUGCUAGCGGCGUGCCUUAUGCAUGCAAGUCGAACGGUUCUGAUUUAUCAGGAUAGUGGCAAACGGGUGAGUAGUACGUAAGUAACCUGCCCCGAAGUAUGGAAUAAUCCAUCGAAAGGUGGACUAAUACCGUAUGUGGUGCCGCUUCUUAUGGAGCGUCACUAAAGCCUUCGGGUGCUUUGGGAGGGGCUUGCGUCCGAUUAGCUUGUUGGUGGGGUAACGGCCUACCAAGGCGAGGAUCGGUCGCUGGUUUGAGAGAAUGACCAGCCACACUGGGACUGAGACACGGCCCAGACUCCUACGGGAGGCAGCAGCAAGGAAUAUUGCGCAAUGGGCGAAAGCCUGACGCAGCGACGCCGCGUGAGGGAAGAAGGCCUUCGGGUCGUAAACCUCUUUUCUUGGGGAAGAAUAAUGACGGUACCCAGGGAAUAAGUCACGGCUAACUACGUGCCAGCAGCCGCAGUAAGAC
rnacentral:rRNA from 1 species